CCUACGGGCGGCAGCAGUGGGGAAUAUUGGACAAUGGGCGAAAGCCUGAUCCAGCCAUGCCGCGUGUGUGAAGAAGGCCUUCGGGUUGUAAAGCACUUUCAGUGGGGAAGAAAGCCUUGGGGCUAAUACCCUCGAGGAAGGACAUCACCCACAGAAGAAGCACCGGCUAACUCCGUGCCAGCAGCCGCGGUAAUACGGAGGGUGCGAGCGUUAAUCGGAAUUACUGGGCGUAAAGCGCGCGGAGGCGGUCUGGUAAGCCGGUUGUGAAAGCCCCGGGCUCAACCUGGGAACGGCAUUCGGAACUGUCAGGCUAGAGUGCGGGAGAGGGAGGUAGAAUUCCCGGUGUAGCGGUGAAAUGCGUAGAGAUCGGGAGGAAUACCAGUGGCGAAGGCGGCCUUCUGGACUGACACUGACGCUGAGGUGCGAAAGCGUGGGUAGCAAACAGGAUUAGAUACCCUUGUAGUC
rnacentral:rRNA from 1 species